CCUACGGGUGGCAGCAGUGAGGAAUAUUGGUCCAUGGGCGUAAGCCUGAACCAGCCAAGUCGCGUGAGGGAUGAAGGUUCUAUGGAUCGUAAACCUCUUUUAUAAGGGAAUAAAGUGCGGGACGUGUCCCGUUUUGUAUGUACCUUAUGAAUAAGGAUCGGCUAACUCCGUGCCAGCAGCCGCGGUAAUACGGAGGCUCCGAGCGUUAUCCGGAUUUAUUGGGUUUAAAGGGUGCGUAGGCGGCCUUUUAAGUCAGCGGGGAAAGUCUGGGGCUCAACCCUAGAAUUGCCGUUGAAACUGGGAGGGUUGAGUAUGUUUGAGGCAGGCGGAAUGCGUGGUGUAGCGGGGAAAUGCUUAGAUAUCACGCAGAACCCCGAUUGCGAAGGCAGCCUGCCAAGCCAUGACUGACGCUGAUGCACGAGAGCGUGGGGAUCAAACAGGAUUAGAUACCCUGGUAGUC
rnacentral:rRNA from 1 species